rnacentral:rRNA from 1 species
GGGCCCGCACAAGCGGUGGAGCAUGUGGUUUAAUUCGAUGAUACGCGAGGAACCUUACCAGGUCUUAAAUGCAUAACGAACGAUUGGGAAACCAAUCUUUCUUCGGACGGAAUGCAAGGUGCUGCAUGGUUGUCGUCAGCUCGUGCCGUGAGGUGUCAGGUUAAGUCCUAUAACGAGCGCAACCCCUAUUCUUAGUUGCCAGCGGUUCGGCCGGGGACUCUAAGAAAACUGCCAGUGCAAGCUGUGAGGAAGGUGGGGAUGACGUCAAAUCAUCACGGCCCUUACGACCUGGGCCACACACGUGCUACAAUGGUAGGUACAAAGGGCAGCCACUUGGUGACAAG